UUCCUUACCUCAUUUCUUCAUUCAAAAAAAGUAAUGAUAAUGUUAUUUUAAGUUGUAAAGAUAAGCUAAGUCAUAACCAAUACUUUUUAAUACUUAAAUUAUUAAAUAUAUAAAAUUUACUCACUCAUAAAUGAAUAGUGUGGUUGAAGAUGGUGUAUAGAUAUUAUAAAACCAAAUAUUUUGUUUUCAAAAUUAAACUUUAAUAGAAUCGUAAGAUUUUCUACCACAAUUUUUGCCAUUCUUUUGUCUUACUUUUCAUAUUUAAACAUGAUAUUCACCUCCAAAUGUGCAAGACUAGGAGAACCUUAUGAUUAGUAUUAUAUUUUUUUAUCCUAGUUUCAAAGAUAAUAAUAGAAAGAUUACUCAGAAAGAUAAGACCUAAAAAGACCUAUUAUUUUAGAUUAGAUUAAUUAUAUUAAAUAUACUAGUGACAACAAAAUGUUAAACAUAUGGAAAAGAAAUUUUAUAUCAUGGGAACAUCUUCAAAGGAGUAUAUAAUAUGCAUAAAAAUAUGAAAUAGUUAUAACCUCUUCAGUGUCCCCUUGGUAAGAGAGUGCCAUGUAUUUAGGAAAGUUACCUCCUUUAUUUGAAAGAAAUCCAAUAAAAUUCUUUGGUUCUAAUAGAUAUAUUCUUAUAAUAAAUGAGUAUUUCUAUUAAGGUAUACUAAUACAUAUUUCUUUGUAAUAAGUGAGUAUUUCUAUGUAUUAAGUCGGUUCAUUACUUCAGUGCAUUAAAUGCAAGAGAGUUUAGGUGUUUAAGGGAAACACACAAAUACAUUUUAAAUAUAUACACUUCGGGAAAGGGUUGAUAACAAGUAAUAGCAGAAAGUAGUUUGGGAAUAAACAUGGUACUCAAUCAUGCAUAAUAUCGUGUACAGUUAUGCUAUGCUCAUUCUACUUUCUGAUUACCAUUCUGAUUAACACUUUCCGUAACUACUUUCUGUAUAUAAGACCACGCUGGGACUAAUGCUGGAAUCCAUGAAGACAGCCUAAAAAAAAAAGCAAUGGAGGAGAAAAGAAGAAAAACAAAGAGGGAAAGAAAGAGAGAGAAAGAAAGAGAAAGAAAGAGGGAAAGAGAUAAAGAAAAAGGAAGGAAGGGAGGAAGGAAGAAAGGAAGAAAGAAAGGAAGAAAGGAAGGAAGAAAGAAAGAAAGAGAAAGAAAAGAAAGGAAGAAUGGAAGGAAGGAAGGAAGAAAUGCUCGUGUAUUAUUUUUUACAUUAAUAAAUGUAGGUUGGUGACUACUUUAUUUAAUUUUUUUCAAUAAUUUUAAUUUAAAAUAUAAAAUUUUAUUCAUUUUCACAAGCAAUUAAAGGAGCAUCAUUUUACUCUUUACUGUUAUAAAAAUCAUAAGAGAAGAUUAUUUUCACAGAGUAUCUGAACAUUAUUAUUUCUUGUUUGAUGAAAGAUAAUACAUUAACUGAUAAAUCAGGAAGUGUCUUAUAUAAAUAUAACCCAGUUUAAGCACAGAAUUCUUAGCCAUUUUGAUUUGAUAUAAUAGGUACAAAUAAUUUAAAUAGAAAAGAUAUCAAUAGUUUAGUGUAAUUAAUAGAAAUCAUCUUUGAAAAAAAUUUGAAGGGCUAUUGUCAUUUGCAAAACUAUGAGAGAUGGAGUGCCAAGGAAAAUAAGCAACGGUAUUCAGGUUAUGAUAUUACAAAUACGAAUUUUCAAGAAGAUAUUAGAUUUGAAACCAAACGUGCCUGAGGAAGAAAUUAGUUUUUAAAUAAUUUUACCUUCCAUUUUAACCAUCAAAGACUUAAACUCUAAACUAGAUAGUGGUAGGAAGCCCUGGGCUGAUAGGAGGAAAUAAACAGACACUCAGAAUCCUGGGCACUAUAGAACAAAUAUCAGGAAAGGAAUCUGGCAUAUAUAUGUCCUGAUUCCUUCUCUCUGGAUUUGGCCUUCAGUAGUGGAUGUGGUCAGUUUAUUGGUAAGGAAGCUGAGGAUGAGGAGCUCCUGUCCACUUCUCCAUUUGGGACACUUGGAAAAGUCCACUGUACAAAGAAGCCUAUGCCUCCAUGAGGUGGAGGGUUAUGGUUGUGGUUAUGGUUAAGGGGCCAUAAGUAAAUAGAGUCUGGAAUGAUCUCCCAAGGUUUUCGCUUCCUAAGUGGCAAGAGCCUGCUAUGAUAGAGUGGAGUGACUCGACCAAGGAUCCAAUCAGAAGAGUGGCAAAGAGUCUGCAAAGCAGCAAGGGCUGAGUAAGCAGGGAGCUGUUGAUUCAGUAAGGAAAAAUUGCAUUUUGUGUUCAUCAGCCCCAGAUGUCCGCAGCAAAUGCCAGCAGAAAAUCCUGAGAAAGGACCAGGCCAACCAAAUACUGCAGCAGACAAGGAACACCCACUCUGCAAUGGUCUGAAAACCGGUAAGCAUCUGAUGGAUCCAAAGACUCUUCCCUUUUCCCUUGUAUGUUCAUAAAAGUCCUCAAUUGGCUCUAUCCCCAAAGUCAGCCUAACACCAUUUUUGUGACUAUCAAGUGCGUGGGAAGAAUGAAAAUAAAAGUCAAACAGUCAUUUUCCAAAGAGUAAGUAUUUUCUUAAAGGACUGUUAAAAUUAUUGGAUUGGGUAGUUUUAAACCAAUUUGGAGUAAAUGUAGCUUUUUAUUUCCACUAAUCAUAAGAGAAGCCAGAACUAUUGUAGACAAAAUAAAACAAAGAAAUUGAUUUUUCUUGUUUCUCUGCUCAUGUGAGCAACAGUGGCAUCUCUGUGACACCAAUACAAGUGAGCAUAACAAGCAUUGAUGUUGCAAAGGUUAAAGAUUUAUGAAUUAGAAAACGGAACUACGAGGUAAUAAUUUUCAAUUUCUUUGCAUUUUACAUACAUAAAUUUUUUUUUAACAACACAGUUAUUAUUUUACAGCUGAGGCUAAUAAAGUUUAAGUGACGUACUUAGUCUUGAGCUUUAAAAUACUAACCUUGGCAUUCUUCGUAUAAAUUCUUCUGCUAGAUUAUGUGGUACCAAUCAAUAACUUCAUUUAUAUUCAUAUUUGAAUUAUAAUAACAUUAUUUAGGUAUGUGUACAUGUAUAAUUUAAGAUACAGGUUUAGUUAUGUUAUAUUUUUCUAUAAUAAAGUUUAUGGUUAAAAUCAAGAAUCUCUGCCUAUUAUUUGGUUCAGAAUAAGUAGUUGAGUACAGACAUGAGAAAUUGAUAUUGUAAUCAUUGGAAAAAGAGGAAUGUAAUUAUUUUAAUUCAAAAGGACUAUAAAGCUAACUUUUAUAAAAUUAUAUAAAAACAAAAAAAUGUACUUAUAUCUUUCCAAAAUUUGGAACAUAAUCAUAUGGGAAGAAGGAUGAACUGAAUUUAUCUGGAAGGUCUUCAAUUCCCUGCAAUAUUAGGAAGAUAACUCAUAAGCACACCAAAACUGUAAUAGUGCAAAUUUAAUACCCAGACUGCGUGGUGAAAAUAAAAACAAUCCCUAUUGAUUUCUUUAAAAUUUUAUUGGAGUAUAGUUUAUUUACAACAUUGUGUUAAUUUCUAGUGUACAGAAAAAUGAUUCAGUUGUACAUAUACAUGUAUCUAUACUUUUUCAAAUACUUUUCCCAUAUAGGUUAUUACAGAAUAUUGAUUAGAGUUCCCUAUGCUCUACAGUAGUUCCUUGUUGAUUAUCUCCUCUCUAUAUAGUAGUGAGUAUAUGUUAAUCUCAAACUCCUAAUAUAUCCCUUCCACCCACAUUCAUGUCCUCUUUUGUAACCAUAAAUUUGUUUUUGAAAUCUGUAAAUCUGUUUUUCUUUUGUAAAUAAGUUUAUUUGUAUCAUUUGAAAAUUAGAUUUCACAUGUAAGUGAUAUCACAUGAUAUUUCCCUUUGUCUAACUUACUUCACUUAGUUUGAUAAUCUCUAGGUCCACCCAUGUUGCUGAAAACGGUAUUUUUUGUUCUUUAUUAUGGCUGAGUAACAUUCCAUUGUACCACAUGUACCACUUCUUCUUUAUCCAUUUUCCUGUCAAUUGCCAUUGAGGUUGCUUCCAUGUCUUGGCUAUUGUAACUCAUAAAAUGACUCUUGAAAUAUUAUUCAUUCAUUUAAUCCUAUCUUACCACUAAAAGACUUCCUAAGUGGACAUGACAGCACAUCCCAAAGUUUCUACUAUUGUGAGGGAGCUCCUAUUUUGUAGUAUAAUUACUUUGCUAUAUUAUUGAUUGUCUCACAACUUAACACAUGUCUGUGAUAAAUAUGCCUUUAAGAUAGUAGGCAUUCAAUAAAAGUAUUUUAUAACAAUAAUGGUAACAAGUAUAACUGGCAUACAUAGGUUUAGAGCAAGUACUAAUUAUUCUUAAGUAUUUAAAUUCAUGGAAGUAGAAUAUCUAGGCAGAUUUUAAACUGGCCACAGCAUUCAAAGUGAUCUGGGUGUUUGUCAGUGCGUCUCUGAAAAAAGUGAAUAAUAUCUGUUAAAAGAGUGUAGAUUUUAUAUUUCACCUGUAUAUUUUAUACUAGUUUUAAUUGAAUUCAGUGUUUAAUAUAAUUAAGUCCCAUUUGUUUAUUUUUGGUUUUUAUUAUCUUCAUUACUCAAGAAAGAUUUUUUCAGAGUUCCCAUUGUGGCUCAGUGGGUUAAGAACCAACUAGUAUCCAUGAGGAUGCAGAUUCAAUCCCUCGCCUCACCUCCUGGGUGAAGGAUCCAGUGUUGCUGAAAGCUGUGUCAUGGGUCACAGAUGAGGCUCAGGUCUGGGUUGCUGUGGCUGUGGUAUAGGCUGGCAGCAGCUCCAUUUCAACCCCUAGCCUGGGAACUUCCAUAUGCCAUGG
rnacentral:lncRNA from 1 species